ACGCUGGCGGCAUGCUUUACACAUGCAAGUCGGACGGCAGCACAGAGAAGCUUGCUUCUUGGGUGGCGAGUGGCGAACGGGUGAGUAACAUAUCGGAACGUACCGAGCAGUGGGGGAUAACUAAUCGAAAGAUUAGCUAAUACCGCAUAUAUUCUGAGGAAGAAAGCAGGGGACCAUUUGGCCUUGCGCUGUUUGAGCGGCCGAUAUCUGAUUAGCUAGUUGGUGGGGUAAAGGCCUACCAAGGCGACGAUCAGUAGCGGGUCUGAGAGGAUGAUCCGCCACACUGGGACUGAGACACGGCCCAGACUCCUACGGGAGGCAGCAGUGGGGAAUUUUGGACAAUGGGCGCAAACCUGAUCCAGCCAUGCCGCGUGUCUGAAGAAGGCCUUCGGGUUGUAAAGGACUUUUGUCAGGGAAGAAAAGGGCGGGGUUAAUACCCCUGUCUGAUGACGGUACCUGAAGAAUAAGCACCGGCUAACUACGUGCCAGCAGCCGCGGUAAUACGUAGGGUGCGAGCGUUAAUCGGAAUUACUGGGCGUAAAGCGGGCGCAGACGGUUACUUAAGCAGGAUGUGAAAUCCCCGGGCUCAACCUGGGAACUGCGUUCUGAACUGGGUGACUAGAGUGUGUCAGAGGGAGGUAGAAUUCCACGUGUAGCAGUGAAAUGCGUAGAGAUGUGGAGGAAUACCGAUGGCGAAGGCAGCCUCCUGGGAUAACACUGACGUUCAUGCCCGAAAGCGUGGGUAGCAAGCAGGAUUAGAUACCCUGGUAGUCCACGCCCUAAACGAUGUCGAUUAGCUGUUGGGCAGCAUGACUGCUUAGUAGCGAAGCUAACGCGUGAAAUCGACCGCCUGGGGAGUACGGUCGCAAGAUUAAAACUCAAAGGAAUUGACGGGGACCCGCACAAGCG
rnacentral:rRNA from 1 species